CGACCUCAGAUCAGACAUGGCGACCCGACGAAUUUAAGCAUAUUACUAAGCGAAGGUAAAGAAACUAACCAGGAUUCCUCAGUAAUGGUGAGGGAAGAGCCCAGUGCCAAAUCCCCACCCGGGUGAUGGGCACAGGGAAAUGUGGCAUCUCCCCAGCACCGCCCAGGGGGCCCAAGUCCUUGUGAUCGAGGCUUAGCCAGCGGACAUUGUGAGGCCAGUGUCGGCCCCUGGCGUGUCGGGAUCAGGUCUGCCCAGAGUCGGGUUAUUUGUGAAUGCAUCCAAAGUGGGUGGUAAACUCCAUCUAAGGCUAAACACCAGCAUGAGACCGAUAGCAGACAAGUACCAUAAGGGAAUGCUGAAAAGAGCUUUGAAGAGAGAGUUCAAGAGGGUGUGAAAUCAUUCAGAGGUAAACAGGUGGGGUCUGCGCGGUCCAUCUGGAGGAUUGAACUUGGCAGCCGCACUGGUGACCAGGGUGAGGCGGAUGCCCUUCCCCCUCUGGGGGGGGUGGGUGACCAUCCUCGGGCAUUCUGGCCACCAUCAGGCGCACUUCCUCCAUGGUGGUGCACCGCGAUCAGCUCAAGGUCGGCUGGGAAGUCCACAUGGAAGGUGUCUCCCCUCUCCAGAGGGUAGUAUUACAGUCUGCAGCAUCAGCUCUCACCAUGCCCCAGGGUCAUGACAGACAACAGCCGCUGCACCGACCCCCACCCUCAUGGUGGGGGCCGGGGGCCCCUGCUCCUGGCAGGACUGUUGACUGGACCGGACUGCCCUCAGUGCAGCCAGAACUGCAUCCUGCCACCAGGCUCACCACAUGUGCCCGGGGUCUGCAGCAACAUCAGUGACCCACUUGUCCCAUCUUGAAACAUGGUCCAAAGAGUCUAACAGGUGCACAAGUCCGAGGUGGGCAGGGGACCCCAUGGUGCAAUGAAAGUGAGGGCUGGCGUGCUCCAUGGGGCACGGCAUGGGGCACGCACUGCCAGCCCAUCUCACUUGUCCUGUUGGAAAGGUGGAGCAUGAGCGCACCUGUUGGGACCCAAAAGAUGGUGAACUAUACCUGGGCAGGGAAAAGCCAGAGGAAACUCUGAUGGAAGUCCAUAGCAGUCCUGACAUGCAAAAUGGUCAUAUGACCUUGGUAUAGGGGUGAAAGACUAAUCAAACCAUCUAGUAGCUGGUUCCCUCCGAAGUUUCUCUCAGGAUAGCUGGCACUCGGCAGAUGCAGUUUUAUCUGGUAAAGCGAAUGAUUAGAGGUCUUUGGGGUGAAACAAUCUCAACCUAUUCUCAAACUUUAAAUGGGUAAGAAGCCCAACUUGCUGGCUUGGAGUUGGGCAUGGAAUGCGAGUACCCCGUGAGCCACUUUUGGUAAGCAAAACUGGUGCUGUGGGAUGAACCAAAUGCCAGGUUAAGGUGCGUGAUGCUGACGCUCAUCAGACCCCAGAAAAGAUGGUUGAUAUAGACAGCAGGAUGGUGGCCAUGGAAGUCGGAAUCCUUUAAGGAGUGUGUAACAACUCACCUGCUGAAUCAACUAGCCCUGAAAAUGGAUGGCACUGGAGCACUGGGCCCAUACCCGGCCAGUGCUGGGAGCCAAGGGGGCUAUGCCAUGUUGAGUACGAUGACUGCCGCGUUGGCACUGAAGCCUAGGGUGAGGGCCUGGGUUGAGCCACCAUGGGUGCAGAUCUUGGUGGUAGUAGCAAAUAUUCAAAUGAGAGCUUUGAAGGCCAAAGUGGAGAAGGGUUCCAUGUGAACAGCAGUUGAACAUGGGUCAUUCCUUCCUGAGAGAUAGGCGAGCACCGUUCAGAAUUGGAUGGUGGAGACAGGAGCCUCAUGGCAUCCAGUGCAGUGGACCCAAACAAUCCCAGAGACACCAGCAGGGGCCCCUGGGAGAGUUCUCUUUUUUUUGUAAAGGGCAGGGUGCCCUGGAAUGGGUUUGCCCUGAGAGAGGGGCCUACACCCUGGAAAGCAUCGGGGUUCCAGCGACGUCAGGUGAGCUCUCGCCAGUCCUUGAAAAUCCGGGCAAGAGGGUGUAAUUCUUGCGGCAGUCCAUACCCAUAUCUGCAGCAGGUCUUCAAGGUGAACAGCCUCUGGCAUGUUCGAACAAUGUAGGUAAGAGAACUCAGCAAGCCAGAUCCAUAACUUCAGGAUAAGGAUUGGCUCUAAGGGCUGGGUUAGUUGGGCUAAGCGUGCAUCACGGCUGGGCAUGGUGUCACUCUCUUACCAUGCUCCUCCCUCCUGGGGGGCUGGGGGGAUGGUGGCGGCAACUCUGGAUGCAUGCCGGGCCCUUCCUGUGGAUCACCCCCCUGCUGUGGCAGGCACCGGUCCUGACCAGUGUCCCACAUCAUCCUACAGCUAGCAGCUGACUUAGAACUGGUCCGGACCGGGAGAAUCCGAUUGUUUAAUUAAAACAAAGCAUCAUGAAGGCCCAAGAUGGGUAUUGACAUGAUGUGAUUUCUGCCCAGUGCUCUGAAGAAAUUAAAUGAAGCGCAGGUAAACGGCGGGAGUAACUAUCACUCUAUUAUGGUAGCCAAAUGCCUUAUCAUCUAAUUAGUGAUGCUCAUGAAUGGAUGAAUGAGAUUCCCACUGUCUCUACCAACUAUCUAGUGAAACCACAACAAAGGGAAUGGGCUUGGCAGAAUCAGCAUGGAAAGAAGACCCUGUUGAGCUUGACUCUAGUCUGGUACUGUGAAGAGACAUGAGAGAUGUAGAAUAAGUUGCAGGCCUCAGCCACCGGUGAAAUACCAUUACUCUUAUACUCUUUUCACUUACCCAGUGAGGGAGGGGCGAGCUCUACCGGGGCUCUCACUUCUGGCUCCAAGUGCCUGGGCAUCUGGGUGCAACCCGCUCUGGGGACAGUGUCAGGUGGGGAGUUUGACUGGGGCAGCACACCUGUCAAAGAGCAAUGCAGAUGUCCUAAGGUGAGCUCAGGGAGGACAGAAACCUCCUGUCGAGCAGAAGGGCAAAAGCUCGCUUGAUCUUGCUUUUCAGUAUGAAUACAGACAAUGAAAGUGGGGCCUCACAAUCCUUCUGGCUUUUUGGGUUUUAAGCAGGAGGUUUCAGAAAAGUUACCACAGGGAUAACUGGCUUGUGGCAGCUAAGCAUUAAUAGCGAUCUCAGUUUUUGAUCCUUCGAAGCCGGCUAUUCUUAUCAUUGUGAAGCAGAAUUCACCAAGAGUUGGAUUGUUCACCCACUAAUAGGGAACAUGAGAUGGGUUUAGACAAUCACGAGACAGGUUAGAUUUCCUCUACUGAUGAUGUAUUAUUGUGAUAGAAAUCCUGCUUAGUACAAGAGGAACCACAGCUUCAGACGUUUUUUGUAUGUGCUUGGCUGAGGAGCCAAUGGUGCGAAUCUACCAUCUGUGGGAUUAUGACUGAAUGCCUCUAAGUCAGAAUCCCUCCUAAACAUUAUGAUACCACAGCUCAGCGAAUCUCCGGUUGGCCAGAGAUAGCGGGCCACAAGGUCGGCGAGGACCGCCACUCAUCACUGAGUCUAUGUGCGGACGUAAGGGGGACGCCUCUCUCCAGCAUUGCACCGUAUGUUCGUGGGGGACCGGGUGCUAAAUCAUCUGUAGACAACCAGAUGUUGGGUCAUGGAUUCAUAUGCAGCAGAGCAGUAAAAAGCUGCGAUCUACUGAAAGUCAGCCCUCGAGCCAAGCGUUUGU